rnacentral:rRNA from 1 species
UACGAAGGGGGCUAGCGUUGUUCGGAUUUACUGGGCGUAAAGCGCACGUAGGCGGAUCGUUAAGUCGGGGGUGAAAUCCUGGAGCUCAACUCCAGAACUGCCUUCGAUACUGGCGAUCUAGAGUCCGGAAGAGGUGAGUGGAACUCCUAGUGUAGAGGUGGAAUUCGUAGAUAUUAGGAAGAACACCAGUGGCGAAGGCGGCUCACUGGGUCCGGUACUGACGCUGAGGUGCGAAAGCGUGGGGAGCAAACAGGG